AUCGCUUCUUAAGUCUUUGGCUAAGAUAAAAUGUAGUAUCUGUUUUUCUCAAUUUAACAUCUGAGACACUUCAUGUUACUGUGGAUCAUAUAUUAAAUAGUUUUUUAGGACAGCGAGAUGAAUAGCUUGAUGUGUCCUCUCCAGGCAUGGACCUAGUAUUGCAGUACAUUCAGGCCAGGGCCGGCGUU